GUCGAACGCGGCUAUCCCGCAAGGGAUAGCUGAGUGGCGAACGGGUGAGUAACACGUGGGUGACCUACCUUCGAAUGGGGGAUAACGUCCCGAAAGGGACGCUAAUACCGCAUAACAUCCCGCCUUUGAACAGGCGGACAUCAAAGCUGGGGAUCGCAAGACCUGGCGUUUGAAGAGGGGCCCGCGUCUGAUUAGCUAGUUGGUGGGGUAACGGCUCACCAAGGCGACGAUCAGUAUCCGGCCUGAGAGGGCGGACGGACACACUGGGACUGAGACACGGCCCAGACUCCUACGGGAGGCAGCAGUGGGGAAUUGUUCACAAUGGGCGCAAGCCUGAUGACGCAACGCCGCGUGGAGGAUGAAGGUCUUCGGAUUGUAAACCCCUGUUGCUCGGGACGAAAAGCUCUGACCUAACACGUCAGAGUCUGACGGUACCGGGUGAGGAAGCCCUGGCUAACUCUGUGCCAGCAGCCGCGGUAAUACAGAGGGGGCAAGCGUUGUUCGGAAUUACUGGGCGUAAAGGGCGCGUAGGCGGCCUUCUAAGUCAGACGUGAAAUCCCCGGGCUCAACCCGGGAACUGCGUCUGAUACUGGAGGGCUUGAAUCCGGGAGAGGGAUGUGGAAUUCCAGGUGUAGCGGUGAAAUGCGUAGAUAUCUGGAGGAACACCGGUGGCGAAGGCGGCAUCCUGGACCGGUAUUGA
rnacentral:rRNA from 1 species